rnacentral:misc_RNA from 1 species
AGAGAGAGAGAUAGAGAGAGAGAAUUCAUAACUUCACGUGAUAAACUAAAAUUUCAAGUAUUCAGAUUCACAAGGCAAUCUUCAAAAUUUCACGAUAACCUAACAAGAAAUUAAAUAAAACCCACAAAAAAACAAGAAUACAAAUGCAAAAUUACCAAAAAUUGAAUAAUUGACUCAUCACGUGAAGCCUAGAAGAGCUUACCUG